UACGUAGGGGGCGAGCGUUGUUCGGAAUCACUGGGCUUAAAGGGCGCGUAGGCGGGCUAUCAAGUCCGGGGUGAAAUCCUCCCGCUCAACGGGAGAACUGCCUCGGAUACUGAUGGUCUCGAGGGGGAUAGGGGCACACGGAACUGUGGGUGGAGCGGUGAAAUGCGUUGAUAUCCAUAGGAACUCCGGUGGCGAAAGCGGUGUGCUGGAUCCCUUCUGACGCUGAGGCACGAAGGCCAGGGGAGCAAACGGG
rnacentral:rRNA from 1 species